rnacentral:rRNA from 1 species
AACGAACGCUGGCGGCAGGCUUAACACAUGCAAGUCGAGCGCCCCGCAAGGGGAGCGGCAGACGGGUGAGUAACGCGUGGGAAUCUACCCAUCACUACGGAACAACUCCGGGAAACUGGAGCUAAUACCGUAUACGUCCUUCGGGAGAAAGAUUUAUCGGUGAUGGAUGAGCCCGCGUUGGAUUAGCUAGUUGGUGGGGUAAUGGCCUACCAAGGCGACGGUCCAUAGCUGGUCUGCGAGGAUGAUCAGCCACACUGGGACUGAGACACGGCCCAGACGCCUACGGGAGGCAGCAGUGGGGAAUAUUGGACAAGGGGCGAAAGCCUGAUCCAGCCAUGCCGCGUGAGUGAGGACGGCCCUAGGGUUGUAAAGCUCUUUCGCAGGUGAAGAUAAUGACGGUAACCUGAGAAGAAGCCCCGGCUAACUUCGUGCCAGCCGCCGCUGUAAUAC